rnacentral:tRNA from 1 species
GGGCUUGUAGCUCAGCGGUUAGAGCAGCCGGCUCAUAACCGGUCGGUCGCAGGUUCGAAUCCUGCCAGGCCCA